rnacentral:tRNA from 1 species
GCCCCCGUAGCUCAGUUGGGAGAGCGCGGCCCUGUCAAGGCCGAGGUAGCCGGAUCGAAACCGGUCGGGGGCGCCA